UGGGGAAUAUUGGACAAUGGGCGCAAGCCUGAUCCAGCCAUGCCGCGUGAGUGAUGAAGGCCUUAGGGUUGUAAAGCUCUUUUAUCCGGGACGAUAAUGACGGUACCGGAGGAAUAAGCCCCGGCUAACUUCGUGCCAGCAGCCGCGGUAAUACGAAGGGGGCUAGCGUUGCUCGGAAUCACUGGGCGUAAAGGGCGCGUAGGCGGCGUUUUAAGUCGGGGGUGAAAGCCUGUGGCUCAACCACAGAAUGGCCUUCGAUACUGGGACGCUUGAGUAUGGUAGAGGUUGGUGGAACUGCGAGUGUAGAGGUGAAAUUCGUAGAUAUUCGCAAGAACACCGGUGGCGAAGGCGGCCAACUGGACCAUUACUGACGCUGAGGGCGCGAAAAGCGUGGGGAGCAAACAGGAUUNGAUNCCCUGGUAGUCCACGCCGUAAAACGAUGAAUGCCAGCUGUUGGGGUGCUUUCACCGCAGUAGCGCAGCUAACGCUUUGAGCAUUCCGCCUGGGGAGUACGGUCGCAAGAUUAAAAA
rnacentral:rRNA from 1 species